CUGCCCCCUCCUUGCAGGGCCCGCAGCGUCCCUGAGCUCCCACCGUCCUGAAUUCCAGCUCCAAGGGGACACGGGCAGGGCCCGAGGCCCCAACGUUGCGGAUGCUGUAUCUUUCCCACCUCUGGGAGUUCAUUGGCAACGUGUAUUGCUACCACCUCUGUCAGGAAUGAGAAAACUGAUGGGCUCUCAGACCGGAGCUUGGUUCCAGGAUGGGUGCAGGGAAUCAGGCAAGCCCUUUUUGGGGAGAACGAGGCUAGAAGGGGAAACACCAAGACUUGGUGACGGCAGCACACGUCAGGGUCUGCGUUUCCUUCCUCAGAUGCUUCUCACGCUCGGCUCCACAUCUGCCUCUUGAAGGAAGAUUUAAAAAUCUCACUGACCUGGCCCCACCUCCUCUGAACUAGAUCGGAACAUCAAGAGAGUAAGAUCCAGGAAUUUGGCAUUUCAAGAAUUUUCCAAGGUGACCGUAAAGUACAGCCAAAGUGGAGAAGCCCUGGUCUAGUUGAUGGUGUGACUGGGAUGAUCAAGAGGGAAAAUGCGGGGUGCCUGGGUGGC